UGGGGGUUGUUUUGUGAGUGUAAUUAUUAAGGAGUUGGGGCUUAAAGGUAUACGUCUAUUUUAAAAAGAAAUUUUCUGAUUGCAGAUAACUUCUCAAUUUGAUUUAGUGUCGAACGGUAGUGAUGGGGUUGAUAAGUGAGUAUUCAUCGGUAAUUCAUCUUGGGCUUGUGGAAAGUUGCAGCCAUGCAGUGCUUUUCCAACAGUGACAAACCCUAUUAAUCUUCCUCAGACACAUUUCAAUAGGUGUUCCCAUCUGUGGCCGACAUCUAAACGUUCUGGCAUCACUGGCGACUCGGAGACACCUUCAUUUCAAGUUACACUAGUGAAAAUGUGAUACUAGAUUGUACUCUCUUUUUUAACCUAAUUCUCUCUCUCUCUCUAUUCAAUUAGCCUUUCUUGCCUGAAUUUCCUGCUCAUGUGUAACAUCAUUUCUCAGGGAGAACGCUCCCAGAUUUUGUUUUUCUCAGGGAUACACAGUCUCCCCCACAAGGACAAGGUUACCAACCAACAACUUUUUUUUUUUUUUUUUACAAAUUAAAAUUGCAUAGAUUCAGUUCUGACAGCCAUUGAUUGGACUCUGAUUGUGUCUGUCCUUAGACAGUGGAAGCUACACAAAUAAAGAGCGGCCGUGCAUUGAGAGGGUGAGAGAAAGGAGAAGGCUAUACAAUCUAUUUGUAUUCAGAUUUCAAAUGCAAUUUAUUAUUCUGAACUAUGAUGCUAAAUUUUAUGUGUGGGGGGGUGUCUGAAAUAAGGAGAGUCCAUUAGGAACAGUCAUGUUUUCCCAAGAUGGUCAGUCCUUAGAUGGGAAUCCCUCUCCUAUCUUUCUGAGUCUGCUGAAAGAGCACCCUUCAAACUGGGAAAUAAAAAUAAACACGUUGGGGUACACCGUUUUACUUGAAUCACUCUUACUUUCAGCAGCAUUCUGUAACUACCUGCGAAUUUAGUGUGUGUGUGUGAAGAGUGGAAGGAUGCUUGAUUUUGGAUGGUACCUAAGUGUUUUCUAGAACCAUGCACUACUUCAUAAUAGAUUUGAUCUCACCGAGAACGUGAAUUUGAAUAGCUUUUUUUUUUCCUUGUGUCCUUUAGAAAUCCUUCCAUAAUGAAAAGUCUGUAUACUCUCAUUUUUGGAAAGCUAAGAUACAUCUGCAUAAUGGGAGAAUUUUUGUCUCAGCAGCAUUGAAUGUGGUCGUGUGAAGUAGGGAGCUGUCUGUGUACACGAAUAAACAUGCAUAGCUGCCUGUAUUACUCUUGUGUAUGCAUGUGCAAACUAUGAAUUCUCAAAAGUGUCCCCCUCCCUUAAACAAACUAUUUUUGACAAUGAGCAUUUAAGGUUGUUAGAGACCUCAAUAACCUUAUCGUAGGUGGUUAGCUUAAAGGUGCUGUACUAAUAACUUGUCCAAGAGAAAUUAAAUCCUUAUAUGUCAAAAGCACUCUGCAGUGGAUUAUCUACAAGACAAGUGCUUAUUGAAUAAAUGUUGGGACCAAUUUCAUUUUAAUGUGAGUGACUGUAUGUUUCAGAGAUAAAAGGACUCAAACCUCUAACUGUUGCAACAAUACACACACACAACUUGUCUAUUUCUAUUACUGUCUCAACUUAAAAUAUGGAAUCUCUCUCUCUCUCUCUCUCUCUCUCUCUCUCUCUCUCUCUCUCUCUCUCUCUCUCUUGUUGUGGUUCUGAAGAGCAAGGGGAGAGAUAGAAAACGGCUGGCAUUCAGCCUAAAGAGAAAUCAUUGAAACAAAUUAAUCCUAUGCCGUUUAAAUUGACAUGGUAAUCCAUCAUCAGAGAAGGCAAACUCUGAAAGCAAUCUCGAAUCUGCCCUGCUCUUUCCCUGACCCUGGAGGCACAAAGACAGAUAGGUGGUGGUGGGGGGGGGGGGGACAUAGUCAUAAAAGUUAGAAAUGCCUGGAAAAAAAUAAAAUUGGUUCUAUCAGCUCUCACUGCCCUGCCUCUUCAAACCUCCUUUGGAAACUUUCAACAGUUAUUUUCUCAAGUUUGCGGCUAGGUAGGGUCCCUGUUUCCUCCUCCAGGCUGGCCAUUGCUGGUGUCUUUGAAAAGUUCAGAAACUGAGAGUACUGGAAGUUAUCCAGCUGUUACACAGAAACCCUUCCCAAGUGUUGGGGACCACUUUUGGAGGUAGAUGGGGAAUAGGUUUUGUUUUGUUUGUUGUUGUUGGGUCCUAAGUAGUAAAGAAUGGAAGAGAAUCUUUCCUUCAGUGAUUCUUCCAUUAUUAUUUCACAUUUUGCAUUUGAUGAACAAGACAGUAUAGUAAUUUCUUAAAAGAAGACCUUUCUGACAUUGCUGAAAAGAGUGAGGCACACCAACCUGCCUUGCCAAUUGUCACUUUUUUUUUUUUAAUUUUGGAAAUAAUGGUUUUCAAAGUUUCCUUCAUCAGAAAGGCCUACGAUGGCAUGUUGUUACAAUUUGAUUUUCAAGGCAGAAAUUGCAUAAUGCAGAACUGUGCCAUAUUGGAUUUAUUUAUUUUUAGCAUGUACCUACUCAUUUUCAAGGAAGUGGCCUUUGAAGAGGACAAAUGAAGCUGAUAAUCACUGCUGAAUCCAGAGAGCUCAUUCAGAAGUCUUUUUGCACUGCCUUCUGCCAGCCUCCAGGACCGUACACAUGAGUGACAGCCUCUAUCUAGUGUUUGAGUGUAUGAACCUUUAAUCCAUCAAGACGCUUCUAAAAUUGAGAGGGUACCUCCACCACAUGCUUGCACCUUCCUGUACAAACCCCCUCAUCUUGGGACCCAUGGAAAUGCCACCACACUGGAAGCCAGCUGAAUAUAUUUUUCUAAUCUCAUCCAGACUUUAUGGCUAUAAUUUGGCUGCUGACACAAUUUUAAAUUAGCUUUUGCUUCAAUGAAAGAAGGUAAACCAUA